rnacentral:tRNA from 1 species
GAGAGUAUAGCUCAGUGGUAGAGUGCAUGCUUAGCAUGCACAAGAUCCUGGGUUCAAUCCCCAGUACCUCCA